rnacentral:lncRNA from 1 species
UGCCAGAGAAUGAGCUGGGAUCUGCCCUGACAAGUGGAGCCUCGUUUGAAAGUGUCGGUAACAGGCUCUGUGUCUGAACCAAAGUUUCCCUUGCAACCUGGUGUGGCUGCAUGAUGGAGUUUGGGCCGUGACAUAUGGUGGGUUUGACGUGUGCCACUCUUAGGGCCAACUUCUAAAGCCUCCAAGACACAGCCCCAUGCCCUGUGCCCUUCUGCAGCUCAGAGCAGAUGAGCCCAGUGACCUUGAGGCCCUUGAAGAUGGUGGAACCAGGAGACAUGAGGGGCCUUGGCCUGGAAACACAACUCGAAGGGAAAUCACUCAUCUGGAAAACGUGUUUGGACCCAUACCACACCGUGGCAAAUACCUGGUAAAACUGUCAUCUGAAAUUGCUUGGAAAUAGGACACUACCACCUAAACCCACAGCUCGUAGGCCAGGGCACCUCAACUGUAGUCCCCAGACCAGCAGCAUCGGUGUUACCUGGAAAAUUAAAAAUGCAAAGUUUUGGGCCCACUUCAGACCCCAGGUCAGAAAUUGUGGGUUGCAGAAAUCUGUGUUUUAAUAACCCUUCAGAUGACUGUGGUGCCCGACAAAGUUGAAAUGCCUGCUCCCAUGUGUGCUGGGUUUAGUUUGUGCUUUAGCAAAGCGGGAUAAGAAAGAAAGGAGGCCAGGAUGGAAUUCGCUGGUUUCCAACUAGAAGUGACAGAAAAUAGAAAGAGUCCAGUAAUGUGAGGUCUUGAAGUGUUGGGAGAAUUCAUUCAUCACUUCUAGAUUCCAGACAAUCAGAAAUAAAAUUUUAAAAGUCUUUCAAUGACAAACUAAGACUUCUCAGUUGGGAAAAAAAAAAAAAAAGGACUCAGUCUUGUUGCAGACAUGAGAUGAAGAGUGUGGUCUUUUCACAAAUGCCUGUGCAAGGGAGUCAAGGACAGAAGCCAUCCGGUGGGCUCCUUGGCACGGGGGCGGCUGAAGCAAACCAACCAGGAGCCCACGCAGCUGUCAAGGGCUUGUGUCAGCAAGUAAAGCCUAGACUGCUUGUGACUGUGAAGUGUAAAAGUGCCCCUGGGUCCUCAGGCCUGUGGACAGGACAAAGCCAAAGCCGCCCAGCGCCGUGUGAUGCGGCCACAGAGAACACGAGCCUCGGGAGAGAGGAGCCUGGGGCUGGAAAACAAGGGUGAAGGACGCUCCCCUCUGGCUGCAGGAGAGGGGCUGCUGAGGGCAAGAUCCAUCAUUUCUUGGGACCAAUGAUGCUGCUUCCUACUCUCUGCUUUCUGCCUGGGAGUUUUGUCUGGGACGCCUGUGUCUGCCCCACUCACUGUGUGGUGCAAGCUCCAUUUCCAGUGAGGACAACCGUGGCUGCCGAGAGCACCUUACAAGCCAGGCAUCCUCCUCUGAGCUCAAGGCAGCCUUGAGAAGUGGGACGAAGACUUCCUUCACGGGAAGAGGAGCGGCUCAGAGAAAGGAAGAGGCUAGUCCAGAACCACCACGUGGACAUCUUCUGUGAAGGCAAGGGCUCACCCUCACCCUGACGCCAGCCACCUGCCCCUCUUAAUAGGAGGGCGGGCCCUCCCCGCACAGCAGGCACUUCACUGCAGGCUCUGCUGCCUUUGGGAAAUGUGCCUCCCUUGUAGAGCUCUGUGGUGCAGAUUCGGCUAUCAAAGGAGUAGAACCCCCCCCUCCCCCCCGCCACCGUCCCACCCCCACAGAGCAGCUAAGAAAGCUGUUUGAUUUAACCCGUGGUUUCCCAAAUACUUUAGACCACUAAUUAAUUUUGUUUUCUGAAACAUUCGUUAAUAUGUUCACAGAAAAUUGUGGCAUUCACUUUGGAAAAUAUAUCUGUUUAAGAACAGAUAAUGAAUACAUAACAAAUUUAGAACUGUGUUAAGAUUCCAUAACUAAAACCACUCUAAACUUUCUGAAAUGGCUGAAAACGUUUCCCUAACUUUUCUGAAAGUACUUGCUGGGCUUCUUGGAGACUGAAUCAUCCCUUUUGAGCCCACUUAGGGGAAAGUUCAAAAGACCUCAGAGAAGACAAAAAGCAGGGCAAGAGAGACGGCCCAGUCUUCUAGCUCUCCACUGGAGAAAAUGCAUGUGGGAAAGGCUGGGGGUUUCCAUCCUCAAUAUUUAGUAAAAGAUAAAGUAAAAAUUACAACUGCCUUCUGAAUGGCUCCCCUCCCCUGACUUCAUGGGAGUGAUGACUCAGCCCUCUGUUUUGUAACUGCGGAGAUUGAAAGUGGAGACGGGACCUUUGGCAUUUCAGAAAAUGUCGACGCCGCUUUCUUCUGCUUUCUCCGGGACCCCUCUGGGGCCUCGCCUCCUCCCCUCCCGCUGAAAGCCUGCUGUGAAAGGAGCAAGGAUGUGAAAAAGAUGUACGACUCUUUGCUUCCUUAUGCUCGGCCCAAGUUUAUCAAAAGCUGUGGAGUUUGCUAAAAUAAUCCAGGGAAUUCGCCUGGAAAUGGUUUUUUUUUUUUUUUUUGGUUGUUGUUUGUCUUCACUUGUUCCAAAGAAGCAAAAUAAGACAGGGGCUGCCCCUUGUCCUGUCUCAUUCAUUUUUGACACCCUUGUUUCUCCACACAGGCCCUGGGGUGAAGGGCACAGGUGGGAUUCAGAAUAGAAAUGACUCGAGGGACGCAAGGAGUUGGGAUCAGAAGAAGCAGCAGAAACUCCUGCUCUGCAGACACAGCAGACAUUACUGGGAAAGACACCAGAGACCCAGGAGUUCACCCAAGUCCUCUGCACACUGUCUUCCCAGCCCUCUCUCCUGGAUCUGAGAUGAUUUCACUUAAAAACACAAGCCUUUGCUUAAAGAGCGCAGGUAGCCACUUGCUCUCCCAGAGAGUGCUGCAGCGGUGAUGAUCGGUUUCCCCCCUCCCCACCUGCUCAGUCCUGCAAAGCCUGGACUCUGCUCCAAGGCCUUUGGGACCCAACACCUGCUUUCCAGCCUCAGGGCCUCAGGCCUGAGACCACAGGGGCUCUUCCCGGCGGCUGUACCUCCUGCCAUUCACCUGCUGAUUUCUUCCUCAUCUGUUUAUUCCUCUGAUCCAACAAGGUCAGGAUGGUAUGCAACCGCCACCCCCCCCCCACUGCCCCCACCACCACAGCACUGCCACGACCCUUGUCUGGGACGGAUGAUGUGGGGCUGCACUUCCUCUGUCGGCCCCCUGCCCUCGUCAGGAGGCCCAGCAUGUAGCAGGCAAGCAGCAGGCAGCAGGCAGGUGCUGAGUGGGUGUGGAAGGUGUGGCCCCUCACACCUCUGUGUCCUAUGCUCAGCGCUGUGCUUGGGCAUGGCGAGGCCUCAGCAGAUACUGUGCAGCACAGUGACACCAAUGGAACCCAGUAAAAAGACAGUUUCCAAUUUUCCUCGCUGCUGGGGCCCACCCAGAUCCUGGAGCAGAGCAUGGCCUGCAGGAAGCACAGGCUGGUGGACUGUGGCUGUGUCACGGCGAGCUUCCAGUGGCUCUCGCAGAACUCAAUUGGCACGGUAAAGGGACAAAUGAAGUUUCCAGCUUUUUUCUUUUAAUAGCUCAGAUAUCAAUUUUAUAGCUCUGAUGGACAUAAUUUAUAAAAUAAGUCUAUAUCUUACUGUAAAUUUGAGACGGUUAACCUUUAAUAAAGUUAAUAAGGGGCUUGUCAAAACUCCUGAGCUGAACUUUGCUUGCUCGUUACAUAAUAACAACGAAGUGAUUUUAACCUAAACUGCAGCUAUUUUGGCCAUUUAAAGGUGAGGAAAGAGAGGGGAUGGGCAGGAAAAGUAGUUUUUCCAUCGUCCUGGAAGAACUGCCAGGUGAAGGUGAUGGGGAGGCUGGCGUUUUAAUUCCUCUAAUGGCUCAGAUCAGCUGCACCUGGGUGUGUGUCCCUUGCUCAUCAGCGCACGCUGGCGGGCCUGCGGAGGCACGAGGUGUCUUUAAGCCGAGAGCAGGAAGCAAAGUUUCUGGAAAAACUGAGGGGCGCAGGGAGCACGGACUGGGUCUUCAGGAGCAGUGUGGCUGAGCUGUGGAAAUGGACACAUCCACUGUCCCAGAUAUUAUGAAAAUGAACCCCUCACUCUGAGCUCUUUCGAGAGGAAUCCUCAAGUAUGGAGCCCAAAGAAAAAGGGCUGUGUCCAUGCCUGGGCUGGGCUCUGCAAGAAUGCACAACAAAUCACCACCCCAG